UGCGCCACCCGACUGGGCUGAGUGUGCCGGGUUUGGCUCGCUGCACGCAGAGAUGGUGGAGCAGUCCGACGAGGAGGUGAAGUCCUACACCCUGGAAGAGAUUCAGAAGCACAAUCAUAGCAAAAGCACCUGGCUGAUCUGCGCCACAAGGUGUACGAUUUGACCAAGUUUCUGGAAGAGCAUCCUGGUGGGGAAGAAGGGCUGAGGGACCAGCUGGAGGUGAUGCUGCUGAGAACUUUGAGGAUGUCGGACACUCCACAGAUGCUCGAGAGA